GACGGAGGAUGCAAGUGUUAUCCGGAAUCACUGGGCGUAAAGCGUCUGUAGGUGGUUUCAAAAGUCCACUGUUAAAGAUUGAAGCUUAACUUCAAAAAUGCCGUGGAAACUUUGAAACUUGAGUAUGAUAGGGGUAGAGGGAAUUUCCAGUGGAGCGGUGAAAUGCGUAGAUAUUGGAAAGACCACCAAUGGCGAAGGCACUCUACUGGGCCAUUACUGACACUCAGAGACGAAAGCUAGGGGAGCAAAUGGG
rnacentral:rRNA from 1 species